rnacentral:rRNA from 1 species
AACGAACGCUGGCGGCAUGCCUAACACAUGCAAGUCGAACGAGACCUUCGGGUCUAGUGGCGCACGGGUGCGUAACGCGGGGGAACCUGCCCUUAGGUUCGGAAUAACUCCCCGAAAGGGGUGCUAAUACCGGAUAAUGUCUUCGGACCAAAGAUUUAUCGCCUUUGGAUGGGCCCGGGUUGGAUUAGCUGGUUGGUAGGGUAAAAGCCUACCAAGGCGACGAUCCAUAGCUGGUCUGAGAGGAUGAUCAGCCACACUGGGACUGAGACACGGCCCAGACUCCUACGGGAGGCAGCAGUGGGGAAUAUUGGACAAGGGGCGAAAGCCUGAUCCAGCAAUGCCGCGUGAGUGAUGAAGGCCUUAGGGUUGUAAAGCUCUUUUACCCGGGAUGAUAAUGACAGUACCGGGAGAAUAAGCUCCGGCUAACUCCGUG